UACGUAGGGGGCAAGCGUUGUCCGGAAUUAUUGGGCGUAAAGCGCGUGUAGGCGGCUUUGCAAGUCGGGUGUGAAAUCCCUCAGCUUAACUGAGGAAGUGCGCCCGAAACUGCCGAGCUUGAGUACCGGAGAGGGUGGCGGAAUUCCCCAAGUAGAGGUGAAAUUCGUAGAUAUGGGGAGGAACACCGGUGGCGAAGGCGGCCACCUGGACGGAUACUGACGCUGAGGAGCGAAAGCCAGGGGAGCAAACGGG
rnacentral:rRNA from 1 species